rnacentral:lncRNA from 13 species
CAGGGAAGUGUGAAAUAAAAUUCCAGACUAGAAGGCGAGAGAGAGGCUUAGAUGCCAUGUCACUGUUCAUUUGGCCUGGCCUGGGACAAAGCUGGUGAAGGAAAGAAGUGAGGAGAGCAAGCAAAGGAACCACAGCACGCCUUGAAGAGUCAAGGACAGAGCAGCUGACUGUCCCAAGCAAGAAACUGAAACUCCGGCCUUCAGGAAAAGAAAAAGCAGAGGAACUGGCUGAGAACAAAACCCUGACACUGUUGCUGGGAGAGCUGAGAGACAGGAAGAACCUGGUCCUUCAUGAAGUCUGAGCCACCAAAUUAAGCACCCUGAUGUAGCCCUUCCUGAAGUCUUCCUGUUGUCUUCCUGAGAUCUCAUCAGAAGCAGAUUCCAGCUUUUCUCUAAAGUCUGAAAAACUGUGAAACAAUUAAACUUUUUAAGUAAAUUGUCCAGCCUCAGGUAUUUUUUUAUAACAA